AGGACUGUCUGACCUGAGAAUGGGGAGAAAUGAACAUCAAUCUCAGGUUUGUCAGCCCAUG
rnacentral:pre_miRNA from 1 species